GAAUGAAGAACGUAGCGAAAUGCGAUAAGUAGUGUGAAUUGCAGAAUUCAGUGAAUCAUCGAAUCUUUGAACGCACAUUGCGCCCGCCAGUAUUCUGGCGGGCAUGCCUGUCCGAGCGUCAUUUCAACCCUCGAACCCCUCCGGGGGGUCGGCGUUGGGGAUCGGCCCUUUACGGGGCCGGCCCCGAAAUACAGUGGCGGUCUCGCCGCAGCCUCUCCUGCGCAGUAGUUUGCACACUCGCAUCGGGAGCGCGGCGCGUCCACAGCCGUUAAACACCCCAAACUUCUGAAAUGUUGACCUCGGAUCAGGUAGGAAUACCCGCUGAACUUAAGCAUAUCAAUAAGCGGAGGA
rnacentral:misc_RNA from 1 species